CGCUGAAAUAUUCAACUACAUGAAACAAGAGAAAACGUAGAUGGGGAUUGACAUAAGUCUUCUGGUGAAGCUGCUUCACGAGAGCCUAUAAAUACUUAUUCUGGAUUCAGUUCUAAUCACACAGUAAUCUUAACUCAGAGCUUACCAAGAAAACAAGAGAAAAUUUUCAGUCUUUCCUCCUUAUGGCUUUAUUGCGCAACAGUUUCUUGUCGCAGCAGACAAUGCUCCUCCAUAUGCUCGCCAACCUCAAGCCACUCGAAAGAAUAUCUUCUAGGUUCAUAACAUACUGUGAAAGAACAAAGGGAAAACCUAGCUCAGGAAGUGGUUCACAACACAACUGAGUUCUCAGAGUUUAGAUGGAGUUGAAUUUAAACAGGAGUUACUAGUAGAAUUGAUGAUCUUCUUGGUACUAAGUUUGAAGUUUUGUAAAAGAAAAAUAUGGCAUUCAUCUUCUCGUGUAUUCACCAAUGUAACUUGUCAUUUUUUUCAUAUGGUCAGAAAUCAGUUUGAAGUGAAGACUGAUUUUUUUGGA